rfam:Parasitella parasitica strain CBS 412.66 genome assembly, contig: contig_87
GUUGGUUUGGCUUAAUUGGUAAAGCACUCGAUUUGUAAUCGAGGUAAUAGUAGUUCGAGUCUACUAACCAGCA